GGAAUAUUGGACAAUGGGCGCAAGCCUGAUCCAGCCAUGCCGCGUGCAGGAAGACGCAUCUAUGGUGUGUAAACUGCUUUUGUACGGGAAGAAACACUCCUACGUGUAGGAGCUUGACGGUACCGUAAGAAUAAGUAUCGGCUAACUCCGUGCCAGCAGCCGCGGUAAUACGGAGGAUCCAAGCGUUAUCCGGAAUCAUUGGGUUUAAAGGGUCCGUAGGCGGCUUAAUAAGUCAGUGGUGAAAUCUGGUCGCUCAACGAUCAAACGGCCAUUAAUACUGCUAGACUUGAAUUACUAGGAAGUAACUAGAAUAUGUAGUGUAGCGGUGAAAUGCUUAGAUAUUACAUGGAAUACCAAUUGCGAAGGCAGGUUACUACUAGUGGAUUGACGCUGAUGGACGAAAGCGUGGGGAGCGAA
rnacentral:rRNA from 1 species